GAGUUCCUUCCCGGACUCGUAAUUGAACCUCGUUUACAUUUUUUUCUGACAUUUCCAGAUAUUGUGCGCCACUUCGGAGGUAGCAGCACCAGACACAUCUCCUUUUUGUUGAUUUAUUAUGUUUUUUUGUUUUUGUUUUUGGAAAGGAGCAGACUAAGGAGGCAAAAAAAAAAAAAAAAAAAAAAAAAAGGCCAAGAGGCAUGGAAUAGAAAAUACAGAUGCAAGCUGUUUUGCUAAUUUUUAAGUAACCACAACACGGUAGGACAAAGAAUGCCCUGCACAAAGCAGGGCAAUAAAGGUUCACGAAACAGAGAUCGAAGUGUUCUCUUAGGCAAGCUUCAAGAUCUCAGCCUCUGUGUGGUUUCUGAAUCCUGAAUGGACCCUGAGUAAUAUAUAACCUUCAGAGUUACGCCUCUAUCAACCCCAGUUGUACUCCAUGGAAACUGAUUUCUGUGACCUGCAAAAAAAUAGGAGCCAUCCACCUAAUGUCAAAACCUGAGUUUCUCAGAAAAGG